UGGGGGAUAUUGCACAAUGGGCGAAAGCCUGAUGCAGCGACGCCGCGUGGGGGAUGAAGGCCUUCGGGUUGUAAACUUCUUUUGCUCUGAACAAGGCAUGCUAAUGGGUGUGUUGAGUGUAGGGGUUGAUUAGCGCCGGCUAACUACGUGCCAGCAGCCGCGGUAAUACGUAGGGCGCGAGCGUUGUCCGGAAUUAUUGGGCGUAAAGGGUUUGUAGGUGGCUGGUUGCGUCUGUCGUGAAAGCUCAUGGCUUAACUGUGGGUUUGCGGUGGGUACGGGCUGGCUUGAGUGCAGUAGGGGAGGCUGGAAUUCCUGGUGUAGCGGUGGAAUGCGCAGAUAUCAGGAGGAAUACCGGUGGCGAAGGCGGGUCUCUGGGCUGUUACUGACACUGAAGAGCGAAAGCAUGGGGAGCGAACAGG
rnacentral:rRNA from 1 species